UACGGAGGGUGCAAACGUUGUUCGGAAUUACUGGGCGUAAAGGGCGCGUAGGCGGCUUAUCAAGUCAGGCGUGAAAUUCCCGGGCUCAACCUGGGGGCUGCGCUUGAUACUGAUGAGCUUGAAUGCGGGAGAGGAUAGUGGAAUUCCCAGUGUAGAGGUGAAAUUCGUAGAUAUUGGGAAGAACACCGGUGGCGAAGGCGGCUAUCUGGCCCGUAAUUGACGCUGAGGCGCGAAAGCGUGGGGAGCAACAGG
rnacentral:rRNA from 1 species